AACGAACGCUGGCGGCAGGCUUAACACAUGCAAGUCGAGCGCCCCGCAAGGGGAGCGGCAGACGGGUGAGUAACGCGUGGGAAUCUACCGUGCCCUACGGAAUAGCUCCGGGAAACUGGAAUUAAUACCGUAUACGCCCUACGGGGGAAAGAUUUAUCGGGGUAUGAUGAGCCCGCGUUGGAUUAGCUAGUUGGUGGGGUAAAGGCUUACCAAGGCGACGAUCCAUAGCUGGUCUGAGAGGAUGAUCAGCCACAUUGGGACUGAGACACGGCCCAAACUCCUACAGGAGGCAGCAGUGGGGAAUAUUGGACAAUAGGCGCAAGCCUGAUCCAGCCAUGCCGCGUGAGUGAUGAAGGUCUUAGGAUUGUAAAGCUCUUUCACCGGUGAAGAUAAUGACGGUAACCGGAGAAGAAGCCCCGGCUAACUUCGUGCCAGCCGCCGCCGUAACAC
rnacentral:rRNA from 1 species